CAUCGCUCAACGGAUAAAAGGUACUCCGGGGAUAACAGGCUGAUACCGCCCAAGAGUUCAUAUCGACGGCGGUGUUUGGCACCUCGAUGUCGGCUCAUCACAUCCUGGGGCUGAAGUAGGUCCCAAGGGUAUGGCUGUUCGCCAUUUAAAGUGGUACGCGAGCUGGGUUUAGAACGUCGUGAGACAGUUCGGUCCCUAUCUGCCGUGGGCGCUGGAGAACUGAGGGGGGCUGCUCCUAGUACGAGAGGACCGGAGUGGACGCAUCACUGGUGUUCGGGUUGUCAUGCCAAUGGCACUGCCCGGUAGCUAAAUGCGGAAGAGAUAAGUGCUGAAAGCAUCUAAGCACGAAACUUGCCCCGA
rnacentral:rRNA from 2 species